CAGGAGGCAUUACUUUCAAAGUAUCCCUCAUAAAUGUGAGUAACUCAGAUGACUGCAUUUAUAUCCAUGCUGGAUUCAGAUCAAGAAGUUGUCUUGUCAAUUGAGGAAUUUACUGGAAGGUCCCAGCUGACUGGCAGUUGUUGAAAGUGAUUCCAAUCUACAAGAAUGGCAAGGAAGAUCCAGGGAGUUACAACUUGUCAGUCUAACUUCUGUGCCAGGUCAUGAAGCAAAUCAUCGAAAGAGGUGAUCCUUCUGGAUUUCCCAGAACCUGGAGAAACCACCAACCCUGGUCACUACAUCAUUACACUGACUAAGCUGAUGGCUCAAACAUCCAGAGUCAGAUUUCAGCUUGAGUAAAGAGGGAAAAAUGUAUAUCUGAAUGAUCUCAAGUUAAUUAACAGCGUGGUAGAAGAGUCAAGGAAGAAUUAGGAGAAGAGAUACUCAAAAACAGUUAUGCAAUUUAGGAACACACAGUCUUUUUCGUUUGGUUGAUUCGUUGGUUGGUUCUUCUUUGGUCUGUAACUACAGAUAUAGAGGCCAUUCAAGGCAAGUUCUAGUAUAAGAUUUAGGUACCAGAAGAAAAUAAGUUUUGGCUGCUGAGGAAAAGUUGUGAUUGUAAAGUCCUGACUCACCUCCUGAGCUGGAGACACCUAAUCUCUCUUGCCUGAUAGGAAGCAUCUGGAAUAGCUGUGUAGGAAUACUUUUUUUCCAACUUACUUCAACAUGACAGAGCGGAGAGGGUAUGCAGUACAUUCACAGGAUAAUUGACUGCAACAGGAAAUAAACACUCUAAGUCUCCCUUCAUAUCAAAUAUAAUUCAAAAGUUAAGUGACUACUGAUGUACCCUUACAAAAGUUUGCAUCAAGAGACCUGAUCAGUGAAAAAUAUAGAACAAAUAAUAGGAAGCAGUCCCUGAGGAAGGAAUCAUAUAACUAAACCUUAGUGAUUAUAUCAUUCUUUUCAUAAGCCAUGUCACAAGUCUCAAAUGUCUGGUAAAUAAAUGUUAACUUCUAAA